UGCCUAUGAACUCUUAGCCUCAAGAA
rnacentral:piRNA from 1 species